rnacentral:SRP_RNA from 1 species
GCUGGCAUGGUGGCACAUACCUGUAGUCCCAGCUUCUAGGGAGGCUGAGACAGGAGAAUCCCUACAGUCCAGGAAUUCUGGGCUGUAGUGCACUAUGCUGAUGGGGUAUCCUCACUAAGGUCAGUAUCAAUAUGGUGACCUCCCAGGAGGUAGGGACCACCAGGUUGCCAAAGGAAAGGUGAACCAUCCCAGGAUGAAAACAGAGCAGUUCAAAACUCCGUGGUGAUCAGUAGUGGGACGGCACCUGUAAAUAGCCACUGCAUGCCAGCCUGAGCAACAUAGCGAGACCCUGUCUCU